rnacentral:misc_RNA from 1 species
UUAUUUUGUACUUUAACCUUAAAUUUAUUUUUUAUAUUUUUAUAAUGUUCAUGUUUUUGAAUGUUUUAUUCAAAUAAUGUAAAAAAUAAAAUAGAUAUUGACAUGGAUUGAACAAAAGAUAUAUAUUAUUUUAUGUUGCAUAAACAAAUUGGCAAAAUAGAGAUGGAAGAUAAAAAUAUGGUCAAAGUAAUAAGAGUCUAUGGUGAAUGCCUAGG